rnacentral:sRNA from 1 species
CUUGUAACUUAAUAAGAGACACAGAUGAUGGAAGGGAUUUCAUAAGACCUUAGAGUUCAACCCAUACUUAUCAUCUAGGAGGACUUUGAACAUGUUUAAGGUGCUUCUCAGCCAUUCGAGAUUCUUCUGCUGUGAAUUAUCAGUGUUCUGGUUUUAUGUUGAGGCCUUUGAUUUACUUGGAAUAGAGAUCUCUGCAGAGUAAAUCAGUAACAUUCUUACCAAAUGGACUGAAAAAGAAAUCAGAGAAGCAACACUUUUCACAAUAGAUUAAAAUCAUAUGAAGUAUUUGGAGGUAAGUGUAACCAAGCAGGAGACAUUCUUGUGUUAUAAAAACAAAACAAAACAAAA